rnacentral:rRNA from 1 species
UACGUAGGGGGCUAGCGUUGUUCGGAAUCAUUGGGCGUAAAGGGCGCGCAGGUGGUUCUGUAUGUCUACCGUGAAAGCGUACGGCUCAACCGUAUUUUGUCGGUGGAAACUGCAGGACUUGAGGCUGGGAGGGGCUGGUGGAAUUCCCUGUGUAGCGGUGAAAUGCGUAGAGAUGGGGGAGAACACUCGUGGCGAAGGCGGCCAGCUAGACCAGUUCUGACACUGAGGCGCGACAGCGUGGGGAGCAAACAGG